rnacentral:antisense_RNA from 1 species
AUGCGCACAACCAGCUUAGCCCCGCGCGGGGCUCUGGCUGUUUCUCUUAGGCGGCCUGUUCCAUGCGAGGAUUAGUUUUGCUUCGCAGAUGGGCCGUGGUGGUGACAGCGAGCAAUCAGUAUGGAAAUGGAGAAACGGCUUACCAUGCAUGUCCAUCUCCCCAGGAGGGAGGUCGUGGUGCAGGCGAGCAGACGCCAGACUCCCCUAGACACUUGCUGCUUUCGUUGUGGAGGCUUAGCUAAUAACCCUGCAGGGGCCUUCAGGCUUUUCCACUGUCUCACCUUUAGGCUUCUGACACUUUUACUUACGAUUGAAAAAAGAUGAGAUUCCAUGAGACUAGAAAUGUAGGAGCAUCUCAGACCCUCACAGAACGUUCUGUUAGAAGAUGAGAAACAUAACGUUGCUUGUGAGAGGUGAAGCCAGCUGGACUUCCUGGGUCGAGUGGGGACUUGGAGAACUUUUCUGUCUAGCUAAAGGAUUAUAAAUGCACCAAUCAGCACUCAGUAAAAACACACCAAUCAGUACUCUGUGUCUAGCUAGAGAAUUUUAAAUGCACCAAUCAGCACUCUGUAAAAUGGGCCAAUCAGUACCCUGUAAAAUGGACCAAUCAGCAGGACGUGGGCAGGGACAAAUAAGGGAAUAACAGCUGGCCCCCCCAGCCAGCAGUGGCAACCCACUCGGAUCCCCUUCCACACUGGGGAAGCUUUGUUAUUUCGCUUUUCACAAUAAAUCUUGGUGCUGCUCACUUUUUGGGUCCAUGCCACCUUGAAGAGCUGUAACACUCACCGCGAAGAUCUGAGGCUUCAUUCUUGAAGUCAGCGAGUCCAAGAACCCACCGGAAGGAACCAAUUCCAGACACAUGUGUAGUAGCAAAUUAUCAAAAAUGUUCAUUGCCUUUUCUGAAAAACAAUUUUCCCAGAAACACCUGGCAGAAUCAGAGUUCACUGUGUCAAAAGAAAAACUUUAGACAAAUUAAAAUGAGUAAAGAACAAUUUGUGAAUUGUGCCCCUCUCCCAACCAGAACAGGUUCAAAGAGACUCCAGUGCUGCCACGUGAUCAAAGAAUUAUGGAUAAAAAAAGCAAAUAAAUUACAGGAAAAGAAAAUGAGAUAAUGCAGUAGUUACUUUUUGAAGGAUUACUGAAGCAGGAUAUUUCCCUGAUUCCUUCAUGGGACCCACAUCAGAGGUGUUUACUCAGCCUGCUGCCCACAACUCCUCAUGGGAGGGAGCGCACAAGUGAACGAGGGUGAGGACUGGAGUGCACCAGCACUGGAACAACCUGGCCACUUCAGCGCUAGUGGGAUCAAACUCCACUCACUUGGACACACUGUGUUCCACCCCUCGUGGGAGGGAGCAUGCAGGUGAGAGGAUGCAGGAGUCAGGGUGAGCACUUUUGGGCUCCAGCAGGAGCAAACUCUGUGCAGGGCCCUGCAACAGUGACUGAGGGGCUGCCUGUGACUCCCAAAGCCCCAGAGGACAUGUUACAGUUCUCUUUUAGCCCUACUAUCCGUAGGUGGCUUAAGUGUAAACAGCUCAGUGGGCCCUUUGCCUUUUUGCCUAAGCAAAAGUAAAGGGCCAGUGUCACAGCCUUCUGUAUCUGCACUCAUGACUCCUGAGCUCUUGUCCUGCAUUCAGGGAAAAUGAGGUUACACAAAAGAAUUGACAGAUGGUAAAUGCGGGGUAUUUUAUUCCCGGUGAAAGUGGCUCUCAGCAGGAAGGAGAGCAGAAAAGGGUAUGGGCUGGGUAGGUAACCUUCCCCUGAAGUCCUGCCAUCUCUGGCUGGAUUUUUCUCCAAAGUUACACCAUCAAAAUGUCCCUCUGAAAUCAAGCCACUUUUCUCUGACAUCCAGCCGUAGUCCUUCACGUCCAGUUGCUUCUCCUCUCUGCUGGCUGAGUCUGUGGUCUUUAUAGCACAGGAUGGCGGGCAGGGUGGGCCAUGGGUAAUUUAGGAAAAAGCAACAUUUGAGCGGACAAAAGGGAGAGAAGUUCUCUACUUUGGGCUGCGGUUUCAGGCUUUUUGGCUUGAGGGUGGGGUUUUGUCAGGGACCCUCCCUUUUCUGCCUAAAAUUUCUCUGCCUCCUGCCUCUGUCAUUGUAUCACUAGUUUGAAGUAAACCCAUUUGGAAUUACUGAUUUUAACAAAUCACACAGAAUUUCAAGCACCUUUCUAUGCAAAUGACUUGUGAAGACGUAGAGUAUAGUAUGCUGUUAACAAACAGCCCAGCAGUGUGCCUUGCACCUUGUACAAAAUAUUAAGUCAAUUUUAUAAUUGAAGGAGGUUAUUUUAAAAUGCUACAUCCAUGUUGUGUAAUUUUAUUCAUUGGUCAUUUUAAAUAAAAACAAAAGCCAGAAUAAA